rnacentral:rRNA from 1 species
AGUGAACGCUGGCGGUAGGCCUAACACAUGCAAGUCGAACGGCAGCACAGUAAGAGCUUGCUCUUACGGGUGGCGAGUGGCGGACGGGUGAGGCAUACAUCGGAAUCUACUUUUUCGUGGGGGAUAACGUAGGGAAACUUACGCUAAUACCGCAUACGACCUACGGGUGAAAGCAGGGGAUCUUCGGACCUUGCGCGAUUGAAUGAGCCGAUGUCGGAUUAGCUAGUUGGCGGGGUAAAGGCCCACCAAGGCGACGAUCCGUAGCUGGUCUGAGAGGAUGAUCAGCCACACUGGAACUGAGACACGGUCCAGACUCCUACGGGAGGCAGCAGUGGGGAAUAUUGGACAAAGGGCGCAAGCCUGAUCCAGCCAUACCGCGUGGGUGAAGAAGGCCUUCGGGUUGUAAAGCCCUUUUGUUGGGAAAGAAAAGCAGCAGGUUAAUACCCCGCUGUUCUGACGGUACCCAAAGAAUAAGCACCGGCUAACUUCGUG